NAUACUUACACCACUGAAGUAUCCGCCCGAGAACUACGAGCACAAACGCUUAAAACUCUAAGGACUUGGCGGUGCCCCAAACCCACCUAGAGGAGCCUGUUCUAUAACCGAUAACCCACGAUACACCCGACCGUUCUUUGCCAAAGCAGCCUACAUACCGCCGUCGCCAGCUCACCUUUUCUGAAAGCAUAACAGUGAGCAUAAUAGUCCUCAACGCCACUAAUAAGACAGGUCAAGGUAUAGCCCAUAGAGCGGAAGAAAUGGGCUACAUUUUCUAAAAUAGAAAACUCACGGAAGGGGAUAUGAAACUAGCCCCCAGAAGGCGGAUUUAGCAGUAAAGCGGGAUAAUGACUGCCCUCUUUAAGCUGGCUCUGNGG
rnacentral:rRNA from 1 species